UCUACGCUACACUCAAUUAUG
rnacentral:miRNA from 1 species